rnacentral:pre_miRNA from 1 species
GUGAUAUACGGACCGUCGGUCUACCGAGAAAUAUCACCCGCUCGGUGGAAGAUCUUCCCUUCUUCGC